UCACGUGUGCGAACCUGAAAAUUUGGAUUCCACCGCAACCGAAACUCCCCAAGCAGCAGCAAGACUCGAGGCUGGAGAGAGAGAGAGAGAUGCAGCUUCUACAAUGCCUCUCGCCUGUGCAGCGUGGUCGCCGGAGGAAUGCAGGGAGGAGGAGGGCCAGGAAGAGACAAGGACGGAGCUCCCUGGGACCUCAAGCGGGCUGGUUUCCUUGUCGCCGCCGUUGCUCCGGCUCUGGUCGCCGUGCUUGUCGCCUUGUCUCAUCUCUGUCUCGCUCCAGGUGCGCCGCUUUCCUCAUUCCUUGACUUGGCUGCAGCUCGUUGCCUUUGCAUCUCUGUGUGUGGAAUGGUGUGGUCUUGUCGAAUGUGUUUUGAGUUUCGUGUGGAAUUUGUUGGGGUAGAUGGUGUGUUCUGGUUCUAUCUGUUAGAUUACGUUAGUUGACAGGUCAUUUCAUCAAAAAGUUUGCGAGCAACAUGCACUUCCCCAUUCUUCACAUGACCAUCAAUCAUGGUAUUCCAGCUAACCAAAUGCAACACAGCGCAUCAAACGCCAAGCGUGCACUCCUGGCUUUUCGAAAAACCGAAUACUUGUGAAUCAACGCAUUCCUCAAGAAUGAUUCUAACCCAAACCCAAGUUUUAACACCCUGUCAUGAACCUUCUCUUCUUCAGUUAAUGACCCAAUCGCCACAAACCCUUCACAACAAUAAAAAACGUAUAGUGAUUUGGGGCAACAUCGUUCCCCACCAUCUCGUCAUAAUAAAAUCUCAAAGCACCACUCGCACCAUUGGUGUUGACAUAAGUUCGCAUACUAGUAUUGCACAGAAAAGCAACGGACUCUUGGCUACACUUGAAGAACGAAGCCGCAGGAGCAACUUCAUGCAAAGAACAGAGCUUCUUCACAGCUCGGCUUGUGGCAAGAGAGUGUUGAGAAAGACGAGCAACAAUUAGCUGAGCAUGGACUACUCGACUCCAAUCUGCGCAUAAUCGGACGGGCUAACGUCAACACGUCAACUUCUUCAUCGUUUACGGUUAAAAUUCGCCGCUUGACAUCGGGAGGCCAGAGCCUCGGUGUGGGUAUGGAGAGGUAUGUCUAGGAUUUGAUGAAUUUGUUGAGAGAUAGCUAUAGGGAUGAGAAUCUGGUGUUUGGUGUGAGUUUAUGGGCAAUGCCCAAUAUCGUUCCUGGCUUGCGUUUGGUUUUUCCGGGAAGCUUUGUGCUUCCGAUAUCUGAAGUUUUAGAGCUCAGACCGUGCUAUAACGUCAUGCCCUUGGCUAGUGCUCGAGAGUGCUAGAGUGGCAGAGAUUCUUGUAUGCACGACUAUUUUUGCAAAGGUUUUUUUU